GUGGGCUCAAGUGGGCCAAUAAGGGAAUCUUGAGGGAUCUUUCCAAGGUUUCAAACACUGGCAUCCAAGAACCCUCUGCGAAAGAGACUGAACAGAGCGACGGCGAAGCUGCUAAUGAAUCUGAUGCUGCAAUUAAUGUGGAUAUUCUCACUUCUAAUGAUGAUAAAUAGGCCAUAAACCACAAAAGCUAGAUGUACAAAAGUUGAUUAAUUGACUCUCUACUAAGUG
rnacentral:misc_RNA from 1 species